GACGAGGAGCUUGCUCCUCUGACGUUAGCGGCGGACGGGUGAGUAACACGUGGAUAACCUACCUAUAAGACUGGGAUAACUUCGGGAAACCGGAGCUAAUACCGGAUAAUAUAUUGAACCGCAUGGUUCAAUAGUGAAAGACGGUUUUGCUGUCACUUAUAGAUGGAUCCGCGCCGCAUUAGCUAGUUGGUAAGGUAACGGCUUACCAAGGCAACGAUGCGUAGCCGACCUGAGAGGGUGAUCGGCCACACUGGAACUGAGACACGGUCCAGACUCCUACGGGAGGCAGCAGUAGGGAAUCUUCCGCAAUGGGCGAAAGCCUGACGGAGCAACGCCGCGUGAGUGAUGAAGGUCUUCGGAUCGUAAAACUCUGUUAUUAGGGAAGAACAAAUGUGUAAGUAACUAUGCACGUCUUGACGGUACCUAAUCAGAAAGCCACGGCUAACUACGUGCCAGCAGCCGCGGUAAUACGUAGGUGGCAAGCGUUAUCCGGAAUUAUUGGGCGUAAAGCGCGCGUAGGCGGUUUUUUAAGUCUGAUGUGAAAGCCCACGGCUCAACCGUGGAGGGUCAUUGGAAACUGGAAAACUUGAGUGCAGAAGAGGAAAGUGGAAUUCCAUGUGUAGCGGUGAAAUGCGCAGAGAUAUGGAGGAACACCAGUGGCGAAGGCGACUUUCUGGUCUGUAACUGACGCUGAUGUGCGAAAGCGUGGGGAUCAAACAGGAUUAGAUACCCUGGUAGUCCACGCCGUAAACGAUGAGUGCUAAGUGUUAGGGGGUUUCCGCCCCUUAGUGCUGCAGCUAACGCAUUAAGCACUCCGCCUGGGGAGUACGACCGCAAGGUUGAAACUCAAAGGAAUUGACGGGGACCCGCACAAGCGGUGGAGCAUGUGGUUUAAUUCGAAGCAACGCGAAGAACCUUACCAAAUCUUGACAUCCUCUGACCCCUCUAGAGAUAGAGUUUUCCCCUUCGGGGGACAGAGUGACAGGUGGUGCAUGGUUGUCGUCAGCUCGUGUCGUGAGAUGUUGGGUUAAGUCCCGCAACGAGCGCAACCCUUAAGCUUAGUUGCCAUCAUUAAGUUGGGCACUCUAAGUUGACUGCCGGUGAUAAAACCGGAGGAAGGUGGGGAUGACGUCAAAUCAUCAUGCCCCUUAUGAUUUGGGCUACACACGUGCUACAAUGGACAAUACAAAGGGCAGCGAAACCGCGAGGUCAAGCAAAUCCCAUAAAGUUGUUCUCAGUUACGGAUUGGAGUGUGCAAGCUCGCGUAUACGAAGUCGG
rnacentral:rRNA from 1 species